CCACAGUUCCCUGGGGAGGUCCCCAGCAUCUUCCCGGUGAUUCCGCAGUGGAAAAGAGCGGUUUGAUCAAGCACAACAUUUCAUGGAAAGACUGAUCCUCAAAGAGCUCUCUCUUUCCUUCAAAGCCCUGUUAGAGUUAGUAAAAGUUCGUUCUGUUCUGAUGGUGCCUCAUGACCAUGGAAGAGUGGAAUGCAACCACCAUCCUGGAGAAGACCAGGGGCCUAUCUGGGACCAGCAUGGAUGAUUGGCUUACUGCUCCCCUGUGCUGCUGUGAUGGGAGGCAGCUGGGGGGGGGGGAGAGACACAGGCGGUCCUUCUCCACACCCAGUUCCUGCAGCAACCUCCUCUCCCUUCCAGCCUGAUCCUCUUGAGAUAUUUCUGACCACAGUCCCUAUCAGAAUUGUCCAUUGGGGCCAUGCUGGCGAUUGCUGCGGAUGGGACACUCAGGCCAGUCCCUCUGGAGAAAACCCAGUAGAGGAGAAGGAUCCUCGGGGGGGGGCAGGGUGGGUCCUCUCCUCCUUCUUCGUUGCCAACAGGUGCUGGAGGUGGGUGUCUUGUUAUUUUAGGAAGAAAGAAAAGAACAGAACAGUUUAUGAAAUGGCUUGGGCUUCCUAUAGGUUGCGGGGGGGGGAGUGUUUCACAGGUGCUCACCUGUCUCUAUCCCAUGCUCCAGUCCCACACCUGCUUAAAAAACUGGGCAGUUGCUACCCAUUGCUAGGGUUCUUCGUUCCGCAAAUCUUCCCAACAGGUCGGUCGGUCUGUGACUGUCUCCCUCCCUCCCAUUUUCCUAAAUUUAUAUCCCAAUCUUUGGUCCUGGGGCACUUUUGGCCAGGAGAUGGGUCCUGUCCCCUGUUCACUGCCUGCAGCUUUGAAAUGUCUUCUUGGCAGAUUCCAGGUUCGCUACAUGGUCUGCCAGAGUUUUAUCUGCAAGGGCGAUGGGCUCACGGUGCCAGAGUAGGCAGGACCACUGGGCUGCCUCAUGGUUCAGUGGGGACAUCCCUGAAGGCACUUUUUGGCUGCUCCCUUUCCAUCACACCCACCCACCCACCUGGCCCACCCCUGGACCUCCUGGCAUGGGGGGGGGCUUUUGUGGGCCUCCCACACAUGGCCCCUCUCUGCAGAGGGCGCUCAGCUGCCCAGGAGCCACUGGGGAAAGGGUGGGGAUU
rnacentral:lncRNA from 1 species